rnacentral:rRNA from 1 species
GACGAACGCUGGCGGCGUGCUUAACACAUGCAAGUCGAACGGAAAGGCCCUGCGUUUGUGGGGUGCUCGAUUGGCGAACGCGUGAGUAACACGUGAGUAACCUGCCCUUGACUUUGGGAUAACUUCAGGAAACUGCGGCGAAUACCGGAGAGGAGAUCCUGCUGCAUGGUGGGGGUUGGAGAGUUUCGGCUGUUGGGGAUGUACUCGCGGCUUAUCAGCUUGUUGGUGGGGUAGUGGCUUACCAAGGCUUUGACGGGUAGCCGGCCUGAGAGGGUUACCGGCCACAUUGGGACUGAGAUACGGCCCAGACUCCUACGGGAGGCAGCAGUGGGGAAUAUUGCACAAUGGGCGGAAGCCUGAUGCAGCAACGCCGCGUGCGGGAUGACGGCCUUCGGGUUGUAAACCGCUUUCGCCUGUGACGAAGCGUGAGUGACGGUAAUGGGUAAAGAAGCACCGGCUAACUACGUG